GACGAACGCUGGCGGCGUGCUUAACACAUGCAAGUCGAGCGGUAAGGCCCUUUCGGGGGUACGACGAGCGGCGAACGGGUGAGUAACACGUGGGUGACCUGCCCUCAGCUCUGGGAUAAGCCCGGGAAACUGGGUCUAAUACUGGAUAUGACUCCAUGACGCAUGUUGUGGGGUGGAAAGCCUUGUGCGGCUGAGGAUGGGCCCGCGGCCUAUCAGCUUGUUGGUGGGGGGA
rnacentral:rRNA from 1 species